rnacentral:rRNA from 1 species
CAGUGGGGAAUAUUGGACAWUGGGGGCAACCGUGAUCCACCCAUSCCGCGUGUGUGAAGAAGGCCUUAGGGUUGUAAAGCACUUUCAGUGAGGAGGAAAAGUUAGUGGUUAAUACCCAUUAGUCGUGACGUUACUCACAGAAGAAGCACCGGCAAACUCCGUGCCAGCAGCCGCGGUAAUACGGAGGGUGCGAGCGUUAAUCGGAAUUACUGGGCGUAAAGCGCGCGUAGGCGGUUUGUUAAGCCGUUUGUGAAAUCCCUAGGCUCAACCUAGGAAAUGCACCCGGAAMUGGCAAGYUAGAGUAUUGUAGARGAAGKUGGAAUUCCUCGUGUAGCGGUGAAAWRMGUAGAUAUGWGGAGGAACAUCAKUGGCGAAGGCGGCSUUCUGGASUAAUACUGACGMUGAGGUGCGAAAAVGUGGGGAGCAAACARSAUUAGAUACCCUCGUAGUCCUCCCCGUAUCGAYGUCAAMUAGUUGUUGGARCCCUAGAGGUUUCAGURACGCAGCUAACGCAGUAA